rnacentral:rRNA from 1 species
UGAGGAAUCUUGCGCAAUGGGGGAAACCCUGACGCAGCAACGCCGCGUGAGUGAGGAAGGUCUUCGGGUCGUAAAGCUCUGUCAGGCGGGAAGAAAUGCAUGGAGGUGAACGGCCGCCAUGCUUGACGGUACCGCCAGAGGAAGCACCGGCUAACUCCGUGCCAGCAGCCGCGGUAAUACGGGGGGUGCAAGCGUUGUUCGGAAUCAUUGGGCGUAAAGAGCGUGUAGGCGGCUUGGUAAGUCAGAUGUGAAAGCCCUGGGCUCAACGCGGGAAGUGCAUUUGAAACUGCCAGGCACGAGUAGGGGAGAGGGAAGUGGAAUUCCUGGUGUAGAGGUGAAAUUCGUAGAUAUCAGGAGGAACACCGGUGGCGAAGGCGACUUCCUGGCCCUAUACUGACGCUGAGACGCGAGAGCGUGGGUAGCA